rnacentral:rRNA from 1 species
UACGGAGGGUGCAAGCGUUAUCCGGAUUCACUGGGUUUAAAGGGUGCGUAGGUGGACUGGUAAGUCCGUGGUGAAAUCCCCAAGCUUAACUUGGGAACUGCCGUGGAUACUAUCAAUCUUGAAUAUCGUGGAGGUAAGCGGAAUAUGUCAUGUAGCGGUGAAAUGCUUAGAUAUGACAUAGAACACCAAUUGCGUAGGCAGCUUACUACACGAUCAUUGACGCUGAGGCACGAAAGCGUGGGGAGCAAACAGG